rnacentral:siRNA from 1 species
CUGUUGUGGGGUUCCCCAACCCA